AUUGAACGCUGGCGGCAGGCCUAACACAUGCAAGUCGAACGGUAACAGGAAGAAGCUUGCUUCUUUGCUGACGAGUGGCGGACGGGUGAGUAAUGUCUGGGAAACUGCCUGAUGGAGGGGGAUAACUACUGGAAACGGUAGCUAAUACCGCAUAACGUCGCAAGACCAAAGAGGGGGACCUUCGGGCCUCUUGCCAUCGGAUGUGCCCAGAUGGGAUUAGCUAGUAGGUGGGGUAACGGCUCACCUAGGUGACGAUCCCUAGCUGGUCUGAGAGGAUGACCAGCCACACUGGAACUGAGACACGGUCCAGACUCCUACGGGAGGCAGCAGUGGGGAAUAUUGCACAAUGGGCGCAAGCCUGAUGCAGCCAUGCCGCGUGUAUGAAGAAGGCCUUCGGGUUGUAAAGUACUUUCAGCGGGGAGGAAGGGAGUAAAGUUAAUACCUUUGCUCAUUGACGUUACCCGCAGAAGAAGCACCGGCUAACUCCGUG
rnacentral:rRNA from 1 species